AUAGGCGAGUACGAAUUUGGUGCACGUGCUUCGUAUCAUUUCGUGACUAGAUACAUACUCGUCUACG
rnacentral:pre_miRNA from 1 species